GAUGAACGCUGGCGGCGUGCUUAACACAUGCAAGUCGAACGAUGAAGCCCAGCUUGCUGGGUGGAUUAGUGGCGAACGGGUGAGUAACACGUGAGUAACCUGCCCUUAACUCUGGGAUAAGCCUGGGAAACUGGGUCUAAUACCGGAUAGGAGCGUCCACCGCAUGGUGGGUGUUGGAAAGAUUUAUCGGUUUUGGAUGGACUCGCGGCCUAUCAGCUUGUUGGUGAGGUAAUGGCUCACCAAGGCGACGACGGGUAGCCGGCCUGAGAGGGUGACCGGCCACACUGGGACUGGGACACGGCCCAGACUCCUACGGGAGGCAGCAGUGGGGAAUAUUGCACAAUGGGCGCAAGCCUGAUGCAGCGACGCCGCGUGAGGGAUGACGGCCUUCGGGUUGUAAACCUCUUUCAGUAGGGAAGAAGCGAAAGUGACGGUACCUGCAGAAGAAGCACCGGCUAACUACG
rnacentral:rRNA from 1 species